rnacentral:lncRNA from 1 species
UAGAAAUCUUUUGAGGUGGGAAGAUACACCUUUAAUCUUGACCACACCUGUGGCAGCCUCUAUAAAGGACUUGGAAGAAGGAAGCUUUCCUCUUUCCCUGCUUGUCCUCACUCUCAUUGGUGUAUCUAUUCCUUCACUGGCAUUAGAGCCUACUUCUUUGGGACUCUGGUGUAUACUGAAAACCAGCUGAGACACCCAGCCUCAUGGAGUAAUUAACUGCUGGAGUCUUGAGCCUUCUCUUGGUAGGCAACCAUUGUUAGACUAGCUGGACCACAACCUGUUAAAUGAGGUGGGAGGACCCACCUUGAAGGUUGCCAGCACCAUUACCUGGCCAUAAACUCUUGACUACAUCAAGACAGAAAGCUGACCAUCACCAACCAUUGUCCUCUGAUUUUGGAGUGUGUGCUGUGUGACCAGCUGCCUCAUGUUCCUGCUUCCAGGACUCUCCAGCCAGGGUACUCUGUAACCACAGCAAAUUAAUCUCCAAUUGUUGUGUUGACAGACCGGUGUCAGAAGUGGAGCCUGACCAGCCUUGGAGAGAACUGUGACACUGUGCUUAGUGUCCUUUGCACUCUUGGUUUCCAUGCUGAGUCUCUGAAACGCCCCCAGUGAAGCAAGCACAUCACCUCAUGAAAUGUUUAGAACGCUGACGAGGAAGCUGACACAUGGGUGACACUGCUAAUGAGCUCCAAGCAAGAAUUCAUUACAUGAGUGGCAACUGAAUUGAGCUCAUAAAAUAUAUGGCUUCUUACAGCUUUUAUUUAAAAAAAAAAAAACUGCUGGUUUUUCCCGUAAAUAUUUUUCUUUUCCAUAUUUAAAUGUCCUCUUUCUGAAGCCGCCUAUAGCUUCUAUGCAACUCAAAACUAACUCAACAAAUAAAGAAUCCCACACCCACCACCCAAAAGAGGGAGGGCAGACACACAUACUUGUCUUCAAGGAUGCCAGUCAUCCUUCUCCAAAACCCAAAAACCUAGGCUACAGUAGGGGCAGGAGAGAGAGAGAGAGAGAGAAGAGAGAAGAGAGAGAGAGAGAGAGAGAGAGAGAGAGAGAGAGAGGGAGAGACAGAGAGAGACAGAAAGAGACAGAGAGAGACAGAGAGAGACUGCUGGAACUGGAAUUCUGCAUGUUUGUAACAAGCUUCAAGUGAGCACCUGGGGCCUGGGCCCUACUCAGUGCCUGGAAGGUUGUAGCACAGACCUCAGAACAUUUAACCCAAGGCUCCUUCCUGCUUCAGGGCUCCAGCUCUAGGCACUUGGCUCACAGUUGCCUCCUUUUUCCCAUGGAUUGGGGUCAGGGUACCAUAGUGACCUGAGCCAACCUACCUCAUCUGUCUCCAGCACCACAUGGGGUCCUGCUCACUCUUGGAUGGGAAGAUACCACAACUUCAGUGUAUUCUUGGAAGGCUUGUGAGGAAAAAGUUAUGAAGGAGAAAGUGACAGUUACCAUGCUUGUUGUCAUGAGUGAGCAAUAAUGACUUAUCUUCAUGCCUAUCUUCAGAUUCCAUGUCUACACAGAGAAUUCUUUUAGAAAUCGGAGCAUGAUCAUCUUGGGAAGCAGAGCAGCUUCACUGAGGAAGACACAGCAGGCAGUGAGUCUCCCUCAUAGCUGCUGACUGAGACUCUUGUGUGGACCCACAAGUCUGUGAGCUGCUGUCGGAUAUCCUGCAAGUCUGGGUCCUCAGGGUACAAGGUUUAUUUCAGAAGAUCUCCACCAGCACACUCGGAACUUCAAGGCUCUCAGGGCUCACCGUGUCAAGUUACAUGUUUGGGCUCUCUAAGAAUUCUCCUAAAUCUCCCAAAGCUAUCACAGCAUACAUCUCUCUCAACGAAGUAGAUGGCUUUAUGCAGCCCAUACUCUCGAGAGAGGCACAUCUUGUUCAGUUUGCCCAGCUAUGUUAAUUGUCUCAACAUUGUUAUUUUAAAAUUAGUUUUAAAAACAACCACAUUUCAACCGUGAAAUAUGUUAAAAUACUUUAAGACAGCCACCUAAAAUCAAUGUUAACAUUUUAAAUAUCCUCUUGAAACUUCUGGUGGCUCUUCUUCCUGGCUUGUCACACGUGGCUCUCCCUUUCCAGUCUGCUUUAGUUGCUGAUGUCAGCAGCUUGGAGUGAGGUCUUUGAUCAAUAGAUUAUUCCUUUAUAGAAAAGACUGUCAUCUUUUUCCUAAAUCCCAAGAUGGGCAUCUCCCCUUUCACCCGAGCAUGUAUGCACAGGCAGUUGUUCUCUCAUCAGAUCUCCUAAUUUCAUAAAAGUCUGAGUGACUCCACAGCACCGCAGGGGAGCAGGUGGCCCUCAGCUGCACCUGGGUCAGGUAGAUAGAAGAGCUAAAGUAUGUUCUACUGGGCCGGCCUCAUUGUCCCAUGGGUUUGUGAUAUUCAGUUCCUGUUGAUGCCCUGAAAGGCAAAUGACCUGGAGUUGCUGCCUUCGGGGAAUAGAGGACUUAGCUACUGUGGGGAUGUGAUUGUCGUAGAGGAAUGGGGAGCUAGGGAAGACUGAUGACUGAGAUGACUCUGGAGCUGUGCCUUUCAUGUGGAAGAGUGUGGUAGAGCACUAUCAUCUUCCAGAGGAGUCAUGCUGGUGAGGAUCUGGUCAGAAAAAAGCCCACACAUUCCUGGUGACAGUUUUUGGAAGUGAGGAACAUGUAUCCCUCUCACCACAGUCUGGUCACUGGCUGCCUGCCCUGCAGGGGUAUGUGUGUGCUGGAGGCUGGAACAGUGAAAGGAAGACACAGGGGAGGGGGCUGUGUGAGGUGACAACAGGAUCUUGUGACCAUCUUGAAGACAUGCCAGAGGUCCUAAAUAUGCCUUGUGUUUGUCUAGGAUAUGGGGUCCAGCUCCUCGCAUCCCAGUGACUGCAGAGUGUUCCAGGUAGUCUGGCUCAGGACAGUGAAGCUGAAACUGCUGUCUGGUGUUGUGCCUGCUCCGAGGUCCAUGUGGCCGUUAGCUGAAUGUUCAUCCUGCCCAUCCCUGCCUGUGUUCCUGGAGUAGUCAGAGUCUGCUGGUUGUUUUUGGUUUUAUUUUGGUUUUGGUUUUGGUUUUGACCUGUCACCCCAUGCAAAGUGACCCUGCAGAGGUGAGAGGGAUGAGGCUCAAGUGGCCCAAGUCUUUGGGGGAACUUCCCCAUCUAUUGAUGUCCCUCUCAGCAGUGCUGGUUUACAUUAGCUGUGCGCUGUGGAAUGUGCUGGAAGAGAAGGUGGACACCCUGCACGACUCAGCUGGAUCUGCAGAGGGGUAACUUCCCUGACAAGUGGGGGUGCUCCAUUUGGAGCCCAUAGGGGAUCCAGAACUCCCCCAGACCACUGCAACUGUGUGGAAGCCAAUGCUGAGGUCCCCUGGGUUUCCUGGUGUGAGCCCAGAAUUGACACACCUCGUCUGACUUGCAGUGAUGCCUAGUUUGACUGUAUCUCCAAAUGACAAGCAUGAAAAGAUGGCUAUGUUCGACUCUCCCAUGGUUCCACAGGCUCAGUGAUGAUGGAAUGUCUCUCUGGUUUAGGGUCUGGGGUGAGACUUAAGUGAGAGUGGAGACUCUGGGAUUUAUACUCUCCAAUGUAUAUAAAUCCUGCCCUCUUCUGUCUGUACCUGUGUAAGCAUGCUGCAAGGUGCAGUGAGGGCCCAUGGCUUCCUCAUGAGACUCUCAAGCAGAGGGGAAGCCCCACCAGCCAGCAGAGCAAACAGGUGCUCUUGGAUCCACUUGUCAGAGUAGGGCGCCGACAGAAGGUCAGGAGUUGGUCUCCAGGAAAGAAAGCAGGGAUCUUGAGCAGUUUAACCCGCUGAUGGAUUUGUGGGUGGCAGGUAUGUGGAAGUGGUUCAAAGGCCAGAGCCCUGGUGGUGACUCCAGAGAUAACCUUCCCACCAAAGUGACCAGGUCCUCUUUGGUGAGUUCCCAGUUUGCCCCUGUGUUUGUAUGUUUGGUGGCAUCACUCCUUAUUAUACCUAAGGCCUGGCCUCUUCAAUUUCAGAGCUUUCAAAUAAACAUUGAGGCUGAUUCCACAUGAUGUGCAUAUUCUAAACCAGGGUUGUGUUCUAACUGAAAAAAUAUUCUAAUAAGAUUGGGAACACAUGCUAACUCUUCUUUUUUUUUCAUGGCUUAUGUAACAAAAACAAUCAGCAAACAUUUGAAGGUACAGAGAACAUUCUGUUGCUCCAGUAGUGAAUUUGAAGAAUUUAAAGAAAUUCCUUUGUGUGACUUAAAAGUUUGGGGUUGGAGAGGGUGGCAUUGUGUUGAUUUAAAGUUCAGAGAGCCUAUAUUCGGAGGAUGGAGUCAUUUCUCUACAAGGAGAACAAACAUUAGCUGAGAAGACGAAUAGGAAAAAUAAGUGAACCCUCAAAAAACUCACAGUUGCCAAAGGAGUCUUUCCUGCUCCAGCCAGGUCAGCUACUGCGAGAGAUGGCUUGUGCUGUCUCUUUGGAACCCACAGGCUUGUUGACGCUUUCUGUGGAGUACAUGCAGCAGGGAGGAUGAUGCUGGCCACUUUCUUGCUUCCUGAUAACUGCAAUGCUAUGGAGAAGGUUUGGGUCACUUGGGAGGCCCGAGCCUCAUGCUCUGUAGUCAUGUAUCUAGGAUUCACCCAGAGGAGUCACAGUAGCAAUUUUGUUGGUGCCUGAUGCUUGCCUUCUUGGAAACCUCUGUACAAAACAUGGAUGAGACACUCUCAAGGUCAACAUCAAGUUCCCUGCAGUGGGAUGAGAUGGAGACUUGAUGCCGCUAGUUGAGUUUUGGUGCUGUGGAAUUGGAGGUUAACUUUCGUGUGGAUGCCUGGUGGCUGUCAGGAUGGGCGCCAUGAAGGCACCAGCCUGGUAAAGAUGAACUGGGGCUACUAUGGAUGGAAGAACCUUGUACAUCAACAACCCUCAGAUGGCUGCUUGUAUUUCUUGAGGGACACUAUUAAACAA